rnacentral:rRNA from 1 species
AGAGUUUGAUCCUGGCUCAGAACGAACGCUGGCGGCGUGGCUAAGACAUGCAAGUCGAACGGACUAUCUGCUUGGGUAACCGAAAUGAUGGUUAGUGGCGAACGGGUGAGGAAUGAAUAGGUAACGUGCCCCGAACUUCGGGAUAGCGUCUGACCGCUUCGGCGGUCUUCCGAAAGGGGCGGUAAUACCGAAUAAUGUCAUGUGGCAUAAGUUACAUGACCAAAGAUUUAUCGGUUUGGGAGCGGCCUAUUUCCUAUCAGCUUGUUGGUGGGGUAACGGCCUACCAAGGCAACGACGGGUAGCGGGACUGAGAGGUUGACCCGCCACAUCGGGACUGAGACACUGCCCGGACCUCCACGGAGGGCUGCAGUAACGGAUAUUGCGCAAUGGGCGAAAGCCUGACGCAGCAACGCCGCGUGUAGGAUGAAGCCCCUCGGGGUGUAAACUACUGUCAGGGCUUAGAAAGUGCGUUUCGGCGCAUUGAUCAGGCCCAGAGGAAGUCACGGCUAACUUCGUGCCAGCAGCCGCGGUAAGACGAAGGUGGCGAGCGUUGUUCGGAAUCACUGGACUUAAAGAGCGCGUAGGCGGAGUGGACAGUGUCCUGUGAAAGCCCCCGGCUUAACCGGGGAAUUGCGGGGCAUACUGCCACUCUUGAGGCAAGCAGGGGUGCAUGGAACUCUUGGUGGAGCGGUGGAAUGCGUAGAUAUCAAGAGGAACGCCGAAGGAGAAAUCAGUGCACUGGGCUUGUUCUAACGCUGAGGCGCGAAAGCGUGGGGAGCGAACGGGAUUAGAUACCCCGGUAGUCCACGCCGUAAACGAUGUCUACUACGUUGUGGUUGUUCUGACACAGGCACGGCCGAAGCAAAAGUGUUAAGUAGACCGCCUGGGGAGUACGGCCGCAAGGCUAAAACUCAAAGGAAUUGACGGGGGCUCACACAAGCGGUGGAGCAUGUGAUUAAUUCGAAGCAACGCGCAGACCUUACUGGUUUGACAUGCUGAUGCUGCGGGAAACUGUAGCUGCUCGGUGAACUUGCACAGGUGUUGCAUGCUGUCGUCAGCUCGUGUCUGGAUGUCGGCUAGGUCUUUACGAGCGAAACCCUUACGUUAGUGCAGCGGUCAUGCGGACUCUAGCGACUGCGGUUACCUGAGAGAAGGUGGAUAGACCUCAAGUCUUCAUGGCCUUAUAUGCCCCAGGG